rnacentral:tRNA from 1 species
CUGGCCGUGGCGCAGUUUGGAAGCGCACUGCGUUUGGGACGCAGGGGUCGUGGGUUCAAAUCCCACCGGCCAGACCA